CUAAGGUUUUACGGUCAAAGGCAGAUUUCACGUAUCAUUGCUACAGCCAAAAGCAAUAAAUCAAAAACUUUCGAGACGUAGAAACCUGAAACACUCGCAAGCACGCGCGCGUACUUAAAGAAAAAAAACUGGAAUGACGUACAGUAAAGAAACACCGGCAACGUGCGCGUCCACGAGAGGGGGCGACAGAAAAUGGCGAGUCGGUGUAAUAAGGAGCUAUGCACCAUCGAGAGGCGCGGCUUUCGGCAGGAACUUGAUUCGUGGAGACAUAAACUCACUUACAGUGUAGGUAUUGUAAGUGCUCUAGAGGGACUGUUUCACGAAGAAGCUUUUGAAGAUAUAUAUAUUUGCUCCAAGGAGCACUUUUUUGGUUCAAACAACCAACACGACUACUACUCUGGACAACCUCACCAUCAAACAAGCAAAACUGAAUAAUAGACUGCCGAAGGAACUGCAAGGCUUUCUGAAUGCCACCUUUUACA